rnacentral:tRNA from 1 species
GGCGCUCUGGCCGAGUGGUUAAGGCGUUUGACUCGAAUGAUCUCUACUCUACAUCUUCAGCUAUCAAAUCCUUUCGGGGGCAAGAGUUCGAAUCUCUUGGGCGUCG